GCAUGGUGAAUUUAAAUAUUUAAAUUAUAGAAGCAUGUUGUUUUUCUCCUAAUUGUACACCAAAUCAUUAGCCUACUGUUAUGAAAUAAACCUAGCAGAAUCCCUCUAUGCAUCAGGGACAAGUUAAUGUUUCAAAGACUCGAUGCAGUUCCAUUUCCACACACAAAACCGAUGUACUCUUACAACAGAACAAGCUUCAUUUUUGUUUCUUCAAUAAUCAGAUAAACAAACCAUAGCAACAGAUUAUAAACUCAAGAAAAAACAAAACAAUCUCUGGUAGAGAAUGGUAUUUGUGUUCCUAAACUUGACAUUCACUAAAUAAAAUCGAAGAAAUGCACACAGUUUAAAAGAAAGAAAAGAAUCGAGACUAAAAAAUACCAUCAAUAUAUAUGUUACAUUUUAGCCAAAAGAAUAAAUUAAUGACACGAAUACUAUUAUGUUGGUACAACCAAAACAAAAGUAUAAGCAUAUAUAUCAAGACAAUAAUUAUGAUCAUGUGCCUCAAAAUUCACUACUGUAAACAUAAUAGUUCAAAUUGCUUCUCAUUCAACCAUCCUUGCUUUCAGUUCCUCAUGUGGGUACAUUGUGAAUAAAAUCACAAAUGUCUAAGCAUGAAGGAAUAUAAGCAAUCAUGCAUAAGAAAUGGGAAGAUUCCUUUAAAAAAAUAAAAUACUAAUUCCAUAUACUUUAAUCUGCCCUAAAAAUGAACUAUCCAAAUCCAUCUUAACUGCCUGUAGAAUCAGGUCUGCUUUGUUUAAAGCCAGAUCCUCUUUAGAAGAAUGACAACACCAAAAAAUCAACUACUAACAACAGUUUUUAAGUUCCACCACAUUAGAGAUGAACUGCUUGAUGUGGCACUUAAGCCUAGAGGUUCUCCCACCUGAUGAUCUAGUUUUUUGGAUUGGAUUAUCUUCUUGUGUUUAAGUCCUAACAAUUAGUGGUUUGACAUGAUACUUAAGACAGGAGGUUCUCCCACUUAAUUUUCUAGUUUUGUAGGUUGGACUCUCCUUUUAUGCUUAAGUCCUAACAAUUGAUUUUUCAUUGAGAGUUGGACAACAGAAAGGACUACCUAUAGGUUGGGAUCAAGAUGCAAACUGAAUACUGGUAGAUGAGUGAAACCAUCUCAGAGAGAAAAUGGCUACCACUCAGUCAGUGUUGAUAAAGUGAAGUUGUCGUGGAUGUCAGUGUUAAAGGAGGACCAUUUUGGGUAGAAUAAGCUACUAGGUGAGAUACUUAAGCAAUUGUGCCC
rnacentral:lncRNA from 1 species